UGACUUGGAAUGGAUCCGUGAGCCU
rnacentral:piRNA from 1 species